CUGAUGGGCUUACAGCACAGUUAUCUUCCUGUGAUUAUGCCCUACCAUUUCCAUCUCUGUGACCAAAGGCACUCUCAUGUGGAGAUCCCAACUGGCUCCUACUUACAGAAUGUGUCAGAAGUGGCUUUUCUAGGGGACUGAAUUGUGAGACCACUGGUCAGGGACCCUGUCUGAUUCCUCCAAACUGCAGAGUUUCUUAAGAAGAAUAAAGAGGAGAAAAAUAAAGAGCAGAAGAAAAGAUGUCAGAGGUUACAUUGCGCACGUAAGAAAGAGUCCACGAGAAAGGAACAAAAAGUGCAAAGCCUCAGCAAUCCAGAGAGAAAGAAGAAACAGAGAUUCUGAGCUGACUGAAAAAAUCGAAAAGGAAGCUUCAGGACACCAAAGGAAAUGGGACUGCUGUACCAAUGUGUUGGCGGAAGCCUGGAAGAGGAGUGGGAGAAGGAAGGAGACCACAGCUGUGUCUGACUUAGAAGGGCUGGGCCUUCUAUAAAACGGGAAAGGUGGUUCCUGGUAAGUGGCUCCUGUAUGGUGCUUAGUGUAGCAUGCCAGUGAGAA
rnacentral:lncRNA from 1 species